rnacentral:rRNA from 1 species
GUGCCAGCAGCCGCGGUAAUUCCAGCUCCAAUAGCGUAUAUUAAAGUUGUUGUGGUUAAAAAGCUCGUAGUUGAACCUUGGGCCUGGCUGGCCGGUCCGCCUCACCGCGUGCACUGGUCCGGCCGGGCCUUUCCCUCUGUGGAACCCCAUACCCUUCACUGGGCGUGGCGGGGAAACAGGACAUUUACUUUGAAAAAAUUAGAGUGCUCCAGGCAGGCCUAUGCUCGAAUACAUUAGCAUGGAAUAAUAAAAUAGGACGCGCGGUUCUAUUUUGUUGGUUUAUAGGACCGCCGUAAUGAUUAAUAGGGACAGUCGGGGGCAUCAGUAUUCAACUGUCAGAGGUGAAAUUCUUGGAUCAGUUGAAGACUAACUACUGCGAAAGCAUUUGCCAAGGACGUUUUCAUUAAUCAGGAACGAAAGUUAGGGGAUCGAAGACGAUCAGAUACCGUCGUAGUCUUAACCAUAAACUAUGCCGACUAGGGAUCGGACGGUGUUAUUCAUGACCCGUUCGGCACCUUACGAGAAAUCAAAGUGCUUGGGCUCCAGGGGGAGUAUGGUCGCAAGGCUGAAACUUAAAGAAAUUGACGGAAGGGCACCACCAGGGGUGGAAGCCUGCGGCUUAAUUUGACUCAACACGGGGAAACUCACCAGGUCCAGACACAAUAAAGGAUUGACAGAUUGAGAGCUCUUUCUUGAUUUUGUGGGUGAUGGUGCAUGGACGUUCUUAAGUUGGUGGGAUGACUUGUCUGCUUAAAUUGCGGAUAACGAACCGAAGACCUUUAACCUUGCUAAAUAGGCACCGCAUGGCUCUGGCCA